GACGAACGCUGGCGGCGUGCCUAACACAUGCAAGUCGAACGGAAAGACCCUGCUUGUGUGUGGUGCCCGAGUGGCGCACGUGUGUGUAACCCGUGAGUAACCUUCCCUUGACUGUGUGAUGACUUCAGGAAAGCGCUGAUACUACCGGCGAGGUGCGCGUGCUGCAGGGUGGGGGUUGGAACGCUUAGGCGGAUGGGGAUGGACUCCCGGGUUACGAGCUUGUUGGGGGGGGAGCGGCUUACCAAGGCUUUGAUGGGUAGGCGGCCUGAGAGGGUGACCGGCCACAUUGCGACUGAGAUACGGACCAGAGUCCUACGGGAGGCAGCAGUGGGGAAUAUGGCACAAUGGGCGGAAGCCUGAUGAAGAAACGCCGCGUGCGGGAUGCCGGCCUUCGGGUUGUAAACCGCUUUAGGCUGUGACGAAGCGUGAGUGACGGUAAUGGGUAAAGAAGCACCGGCUAACUACGUG
rnacentral:rRNA from 1 species